CCCGGUAAACGGCGGCCGUAACUAUAACGGUCCUAAGGUAGCGAAAUUCCUUGUCGGGUAAGUUCCGACCUGCACGAAUGGCGUAAUGAUGGCCAGGCUGUCUCCACCCGAGACUCAGUGAAAUUGAACUCGCUGUGAAGAUGCAGUGUACCCGCGGCAAGACGGAAAGACCCCGUGAACCUUUACUAUAGCUUGACACUGAACAUUGAGCCUUGAUGUGUAGGAUAGGUGGGAGGCUUUGAAGUGUGGACGCCAGUCUGCAUGGAGCCGACCUUGAAAUACCACCCUUUAAUGUUUGAUGUUCUAACGUUGGCCCGUAAUCCGGGUUGCGGACAGUGUCUGGUGGGUAGUUUGACUGGGGCGGUCUCCUCCUAAAGAGUAACGGAGGAGCACGAAGGUUGGCUAAUCCUGGUCGGACAUCAGGAGGUUAGUGCAAUGGCAUAAGCCAGCUUGACUGCGAGCGUGACGGCGCGAGCAGGUGCGAAAGCAGGUCAUAGUGAUCCGGUGGUUCUGAAUGGAAGGGCCAUCGCUCAACGGAUAAAAGGUACUCCGGGGAUAACAGGCUGAUACCGCCCAAGAGUUCAUAUCGACGGCGGUGUUUGGCACCUCGAUGUCGGCUCAUCACAUCCUGGGGCUGAAGUAGGUCCCAAGGGUAUGGCUGUUCGCCAUUUAAAGUGGUACGCGAGCUGGGUUUAGAACGUCGUGAGACAGUUCGGUCCCUAUCUGCCGUGGGCGCUGGAGAACUGAGGGGGGCUGCUCCUAGUACGAGAGGACCGGAGUGGACGCAUCACUGGUGUUCGGGUUGUCAUGCCAAUGGCACUGCCCGGUAGCUAAAUGCGGAAGAGAUAAGUGCUGAAAGCAUCUAAGCACGAAACUUGCCCCGAGAUGAGUUCUCCCUGAGACUUAGAGUCUCCUGAAGGAACGUUGAAGACGACGACGUUGAUAGGCCGGGUGUGUAAGCGCAGCGAUGCGUUGAGCUAACCGGUACUAAUGAACCGUGAGG
rnacentral:rRNA from 1 species